CUUUGAGCUUUGGUAUUAACACAUGUGCUGCCUCUGAGAUUUGUCCAUCCUUUUCCCUCCCUGGAGUCAGGUCUAAAGCUUCCAGUGAGGCGGGCAAAACAUCUGCCGCACUCCCACCCCUACUCCUGGCUGCUGGUGGUUUGGGAUGAAGCCACUGAAACUCCCUUGCAAGGCCACACCUUGAGAAGAUGGGCCGGUGCUGGGAUGCCUCUCACUUUCUAUUCUGCUUGGUUUCUGGGAGGAAGCUAAUGACAUAAGGGGCCUAAAGGCUUUCUUAACUGGUGACCUGGAGUUUAAUUGUAAGUGGGUCUUUCGGGGCAGCAGUUAGGAAUGUAUGGAUCACCUUCAGUCAUCUGCAGGGAGACUUGGACUGGAAGUGGGAGAACUGGCUCCACUGGACUCUGAAAAAGGCUGUGGAGUUUUCAUCUGCUGCUGAUUUCAUCCACUGUCCCAAAAGUUAUCUUGGCCACAAACCUUUGAUCUGGGAGUGAGACCCCUCGCCCGAUGCUUCUAGGGCAGGAGUCAGUGACUGCCUAUACCCGCUGUUCUGUGUAGAUGGGAGAGGGUGUUAGUUAUUGAGUAGGGCUGAGUACUUGGGGUGAUUUGGGGUGGUUAGGCAUGAUUGGGGCUUACACACUGGAGGGGUCAUGUGUAGGCUUCUUGAUGGGGUUCUUUCAGGAAGGAGGAGGCAAAAGAACAGUUUUGCUUGUUUCUUGGUUGUUCCUGACUCCAUCCAGGAGUGUGAC
rnacentral:lncRNA from 1 species